UAGUUGCUCUGCUGUGCCUACCCUCGAGG
rnacentral:piRNA from 1 species